rnacentral:rRNA from 1 species
AUUUCUAAGACAACUAGGAUGUUGGCUUAGAAGCAGCCACUCAUUUAAAGAGUGCGUAAUAGCUCACUAGUCGAGAGAUCCUGCGCCGAAAAUGUACCGGGGCUAAACUUACCACCGAAGCUACGGAUUUGCAAGUAAUUGCAAGUGGUAGGGGAGCGUCGUAAUCGGGCUGAAGUCGUACCGGAAGGAGCGGUGGACUGAUUACGAGUGAGAAUGUUGGCAUUAGUAGCGAGAUGUAGGUGAGAAUCCUACAGGCCGAAUAUCUAAGGUUUCCUCAGGAAGGCUCGUCCGCUGAGGGUUAGUCGGGACCUAAGCCGAGGCCGAAAGGCGUAGGCGAUGGACAAUCGGUUGAUAUUCCGAUACCACUACCAUCGUUAUUAUCGAGGGUGUGACGGAGAAGGAUAGUGUGUGCUAGCGAUUGGAAAUGCUAGUCUAAGCGUUUAGGGAGUUACGGUAGGCAAAUCCGCUGUAACAAUUCUGAGGCGUGAUGGGGAAGGUCAUUAAGACCGAAGUACAUGAUUCCAUGCUUCCAAGAAAAGCAUCUAGAGAGAGAAGUAGUGCCCGUACCGCAAACCGACACAGGUAGAUGAGGAGAGAAUCCUAAGGCCGGCGGAAGAAUUGCAGUUAAGGAACUAGGCAAAUUGACCCCGUAAGUUCGCGAGAAGGGGUGCCUGCGAGAGCAGGCCGCAGAGAAUAGGCCCAAGCAACUGUUUAGCAAAAACACAGGUCUCUGCUAAAGCGUAAGCUGAUGUAUAGGGGCUGACGCCUGCCCGGUGCUGGAAGGUUAAGGGGAACACUUAGCGCAAGCGAAGGUGUGAACUUAAGCCCCAGUAAACGGCGGCCGUAACUAUAACGGUCCUAAGGUAGCGAAAUUCCUUGUCAGGUAAGUUCUGACCCGCACGAAUGGCGUAAUGACUUGGGCACUGUCUCAACUGCAAAUCCGGCGAAGUUGUAGUGCGAGUGAAGAUGCUCGCUACCCGCGAUUGGACGGAAAGACCCCGUAGAGCUUUACUGUAGCUUAGCAUUGAAUUCCGGUAUUGUCUGUACAGGAUAGGUGGGAGACUGGGAAACUAGGGCGUCAGCCUUAGUGGAGUCAACCUUGGGAUACCACCCUGACAGUACUGGGGUUCUAACAGGACGCCAUGAAGCUGGUGACUGGACAUUGUUAGGUGGGCAGUUUGACUGGGGCGGUCGCCUCCUAAAAAGUAACGGAGGCGCCCAAAGGUUCCCUCAGAACGGUCGGAAAUCGUUCGUAGAGUGCAAAGGCAGAAGGGAGCCUGACUGCGAGACCUACAAGUCGAGCAGGGACGAAAGUCGGGCUUAGUGAUCCGGUGGUACCUCGUGGGAGGGCCAUCGCUCAACGGAUAAAAGCUACCUCGGGGAUAACAGGCUGAUCUCCCCCAAGAGUCCACAUCGACGGGGAGGUUUGGCACCUCGAUGUCGGCUCGUCGCAUCCUGGGGCUGUAGUAGGUCCCAAGGGUUGGGCUGUUCGCCCAUUAAAGCGGCACGCGAGCUGGGUUCAGAACGUCGUGAGACAGUUCGGUCCCUAUCCGUCGCGGGCGUAGGAAAUUUGAGAGGAGCUGUCCUUAGUACGAGAGGACCGGGAUGGACUGACCUCUGGUGCACCAGUUGUUCUGCCAAGAGCAUGGCUGGGUAGCUAAGUCGGGAAGGGAUAAACGCUGAAAGCAUCUAAGCGUGAAGCCCCCCUCAAGAUGAGAUUUCCCAUAGCAUAAGCUAGUAAGACCCCUUGA